rnacentral:rRNA from 1 species
CGGGGAGCAAGCUUGCUUGCUCUGCCGGCGACCGGCGUACGGGUGAGUAACACGUAUGCAACCUGCCCUCCGCAGGGGGAUAACCCGGAGAAAUCCGGACUAAUACCGCGUGGUACACCUGUGGGGCAUCCCACGGGUGUUAAAAGGAAGUGAUUCCGGCGGAGGAUGGGCAUGCGGCGCAUUAGCUUGUUGGCGGGGUAACGGCCCACCAAGGCUACGAUGCGUAGGGGUUCUGAGAGGAAGGUCCCCCACACUGGUACUGAGACACGGACCAGACUCCUACGGGAGGCAGCAGUGAGGAAUAUUGGUCAAUGGGCGGAAGCCUGAACCAGCCAAGUCGCGUGAGGGAAUAAGGCCCUACGGGUCGUAAACCUCUUUUGCCGGGGAGCAAUGGCCGGGACGUGUCCCGGUCCGGAGAGUACCCGGAGAAAAAGCAUCGGCUAACUCCGUGCCAGCAGCCGCGGUAAUACGGAGGAUGCGAGCGUUAUCCGGAUUUAUUGGGUUUAAAGGGUGCGUAGGCGGGCUUUUAAGUCAGCGGUGAAAUGCCCCCGCUCAACGGGGUGAAGUGCCAUUGAUACUGCCUUGCUGGAAUGCGGAUGCCGUGGGAGGAAUGUGUGGUGUAGCGAUGAAAUGCAUAGAUAUCACACAGAACACCGAUUGCGAAGGCAUCUCACGAAUCCGCGAUUGACGCUGAUGCACGAAAGCGUGGGUAUCAAACAGGAUUAGAUACCCUGGUAGUCCACGCUGUAAACGAUGAUGA